GCCCUCGUAGCUCAGCUGGAUAGAGCGAUCGCCUCCUAAGCGAUAGGUCACAGGUUCGAAUCCUGUCGAGGGCACCA
rnacentral:tRNA from 1 species